rnacentral:lncRNA from 1 species
UUGCAUUGUAUUCAAUAUGUUGUCCCUUUACAAAACGACAAGGGUCCCCUUUAGAUAUGAGGGGUGAGUCCCAACACAGUACAUGUCUAAUAAAUGACGGGGAAAUGCUUCUAGUACAGCUGUAUAACGGCUCAGCACGGAUUUGUACUAUUCUUGCAUAUUCUGUUAGUCCUCAUUGCAUGCGCUCGUGGGUUUACCGCCUUUCCAUGACAGUCAUCGAUUAUCAUAUUGCCUUGAGGUACAUCAUGGUGAGUCUUCGACAUACCUUGCCAAGCGAGUGCUUCGGGAACGGGCCUUGGACCGUGCUUUAAUCCCAUCGAGGCCGGAUUUGAACUGUCACACAAGUCUCAAAUUGGUCUUCCCUGAUUUUGACCGUAUACACCAACUUAAGUCUAUACAGCAUCAAAUACCAGCAAUGGUUUCUUUAGAGACAAUGUACGUCUUUGUUAAGCUGGGACCUAUGCUGUCCUCUCCGUUUCUCCUAUUCCUUCUCGUUGUCCCUGUAGUUUCUUCCUUUUGCUACUCUAUUAGGGAUCUAAGCAUUGACUAAUUAUUUUUUGCAGCUGUGACAGCAUUAAUGGCUUGUAUUUACGUUCUAGCGAUGCUAGUGGUACUAGACCUAUCAAGUAGACUACUUAACUGCUUUAAUCCCAACAU